rnacentral:rRNA from 1 species
AUUGAACGCUGGCGGCAGGCCUAACACAUGCAAGUCGGGCGAGAGGCGGACGGGUGAGUAAUGUAUGGGGAUCUGCCUGAUGGAGGGGGAUAACUACUGGAAACGGUAGCUAAUCCCGCAUAACAUCAGAUGUACCCAUAGGGGAUUAGCUUGUAGGUGAGGUAACGGCUCACCUAGGCGACGCUCCCUAGCUGGUCUGAGAGGAUGACCAGCCACACUGGGACUGAGACACGUCCCAGACUCCUACGGGAGGCAGCAGUGGGGAAUAUUGCACAAUGGGCGCAAGCCUGAUGCAGCCAUGCCGCGUGUAUGAAGAAGGCCUUCGGGUUGUAAAGUACUUUCAGUCGGGAGGCGUUACCGACAGAAGAAGCACCGGCUAACUCCGUGCCAGCAGCCGCGGUAAUAC